UCUAAAAAAAAGCCAAGGCUAGAAAAAAAAAUUAAAAAAUAAAAAGGCAGCCUUUCUUGAGUAAAAAAAAGCCAAGGCUCGAAAAAAAAUAUUGAGCGAAAAAUAGAAAUGAUUCAAAAGAAUAAGUUGACAUAUGGUCGAAAAAUCUCAUGUUUGGGGUGUUGAGCUAUAAGAAAUUUGUAUGCAGUGAGUGAGAUGUGAAAGGUUUUGUGAUGGAUGUGCUAGUAUUUUAAGAAUGGUGGUAAGCUACUUAACCAAAUAUUAUCCCACCUCUACCAAAAGCCCCAUUACAUCCCAAUGAAUAAGACCUUUUGAUAUGUGCAUCAUAUUGACUUGGGAGUGAUGAAUUUUGCUUGAUUUUGGGAGAAAGAUCUUAUGUGCUUAAAAUAAAGAAUAGCUAGAAGAACUUCUCUUUAUGAAUUAGUGACGAUGGUUUGAGACUCCCAAGACACAACUCGAACUUAGAUUGAAGCAUGGGAUGCCUAGUUCUUAGGGAAUUAGUUCGUGUACAAUUCUUGUUCUUAAGUUUUACCCGCGAGUGAAUUCGGGGUCGGCCUAAUUUCCCUACCGAUUCAUAUGGUUUGGCGUGACUUGAAGCAGAGGAUUAUCUAAUAUCUUUAUACAAUGGAAUGGAGGGUAGCGUAUUAUUGCUCCUAGCCAAUUUUGGCCACUUCGAUAUUAAGUGUCUCUCAGUUCAUACUAAAGCCGUCAAUGAAGAACUACUGCAAAAUCUUUCUGAUGCUCUACGCUUGUCGGUACCUGAUAAAAUUGGAGUUGAUCUUGCUUUGUCUAAAACUGACGAUCACGAUAUUAGGAUGUGUGGAAAGAAUUUUUCUUUGAGUCAGAUUAAAGAGCUGUGUUCCAAUCUAUUGCAUUUGAGGCGACUGAGAUGAUUCAAACUAUGCUCGUGUUACACUUAGUUGAUCUAACGGCCUCUCUAAGCAUUCAGAUUCAUUCUUGUAAAUGUUAUCUCUUGUGCAACUAAGGUGCUUUCCGUGAUAGUUCCUCGUGCAAAAAUAGACUAGAAUUUCUUAGUCAAUCUGAAGGCCAAGGCCCAACUACGUGGAGAUCACUUCUUCAGCGUUGUUUAAAACGCGCCGCACAGGUGGAAGAGCAAGAUCUGGGGACGGCAGCCCGGUGGGGGCAAGGCGUAUGGCGGUAGGGGGAGACUUAGUUCUUAACUUAUAAGAAGCCGGGGAAAUGGCUCUUUCCCAAGUACUUCCUAGAUAUGUUUCUUUUUUACAUUGGCAUUCGGUUUGCUGUACCUGCAUUAAAAAAGAAAUCAUGGGCCUUGGAAGCUGGAUGAGCACUCAAUUAGUGUCUAGUAAAGAUGCUUUGUAUGAGUGCCAUCUUGUGGUCUGUUAUAAUUGUAAUUUCAUGCUCCGGUUUACGUGCAUGCCUCCAGGAAUAGAUCAAGGUUCUGAAGGAUGUUCAGGACCUCUCUCCUAGUCACAUUCAAUCUUUGGGUUCACUUUGAAUAUCUUUCUGGUUGUGUGUAAGGCUGCGUAGCACGUAGAACUCAGUCCCGUGUUGAGAGCGCUACUUCAGUGUUGAUAAGUUCUAGAAAUGUCCCCUGUUCUUCUUCAGUGAGGUUCUCGCUUCCUGUAUAGGGGUGUGAUCCUGGCACCACCCCUUGCUUUCUACCCAAACAAGAAUCACUAACAGAGUUGACACCGAUGAAUGGAAUCCAUCCACUGAUACGCAUCUUCCUUGAUUGAUAACCGCUCUGCAAAUGUUGUGAUGCACUCAAAAUUUUAAAUAUCAUUUCCAGCUUUUUUGUUUGUCUACGACAGUUAGAUCAUCUAUCGAGGGACCGAAUUUGCUUUAGAUGGCAAACUUGAGUUUGCUCAUACUGCUCAUCGAAAUUCUGCUGCUGUUCAUUCCUGGUUGAGUGUAAGGCUGCGUAGCAAGUAGAAGUCGCUCCCUUGUUGAGAGCGCUACUUCAGUGUUGAUAAGUUCUAGAGAUGUCCCCUGAUCUUCAACAGUGAGGUGUUAUAGCUGUAACCAUUACUCGUUGGAUUUUUAUGCUAGAGCACUUUGAGCACAAACUUUUGCAGGAACUAGCCCGGAGUUGCCCUGGUUCUCACUUCCGGUAUAGGGGUGUGAUCCUGACACCACCCCUUAAUUGCUUUCUACUCAAACAAGUAAGUAUUCUAUCCUCUUUACAUUUUUUUGUCCUUCACAUUGAGGGUAAUGUUUAGAAUAGUUUUGAGGUGUGGGUGUCUGCGUGCAUUCUUCUUUUUGGGGUUGUAAUUUAUCCUAUUUGUGUGUAUAUGUAAGGUUUUCUCUCCAUUAAUUGUCACCAGAAACACUUUUUAAUGGUUUAUUAGUGUAGACUUAGUUUCUCUCAAGGGUUGGAGAACUAAAAUUCCCUAAUUUAAAACACAUUACUUAUAUUUUAAUAUGUGAAAAUGAAUUUGUGCUGCUGAACAAGACAUGCUGCUGAACAAGACCAAGUACAUAUAUUUUCUAUGGUCGCUUGAAAUUUUCUCUGUGGUGAACGUGGAGUCUGUUUAUGUUUUUUUCCGUUGAAUGGGGUUUACUUUUUAAAUCAAUAAUACUAGCAAAUAACUGAUAUAAAAACAUUGGUAAAGGCUUGUGUUAAUUUAGUCCAUUGAGUAUGGGUUUGGAAUUCAUAUUGUUUGUAUUUUGUCCUUGUUGCCUUUUUUUAACCUUGUUUACAUGCAGUCCAAACCAUUGAUGGGGAAUAGAUCAACAACUUUCUAUUAGGAGAAAGCAUAGAGACAGUGUUGUGCCACUUUUUUUAUGCUAGCAUUUAUGUGCAAGGUCAAGUGAGCCUUUUGUCCUAAGCUAGGCCACCUGUCACAUUCACAAAAUGAGUUUAUGAGGUGAUUCCUGACAAAUUCUAGGACAUCUAAGUUGAUUCAGGAAAGAAUCGAUCCAUCCAGAGCUCAAAUGUAUUUCCAGUUGCCCCUCUGCUUCGUCAGUGUGUGGAUUUUCCUGGAAAUUUGCAUCUCUACUUCUGACCAAAUGAGUGUUAGCACUGGAAUUGGUGCUAUUCCCCACACACCCGAAAUUGGCUCUGAUGAGAUGGAUCCUGUUGGAUCACAGAUUCAUACAAGCUACUGAUGGACACUAAUGCAAAUCUGUCUUCCGAGCAUCCCGGGACAAAUGUCUCUGCGCCAUUUAUAACCUUUGGUGAUGCAUUGCACAUGUACCAUACUAUCACAGAGAAGAUAUAUAUACUAUGCGCCUUAACUCUUAAAUAUCAAUUCCUUAUAUCUCGUGCCCAAAAAAUUGCCUCGCUCAUGGUUGGACGGAGUGAGUACAAAAUAACAAACUAUAGCUAUAUAUUUAUUUUACUAUUAUCUUAGUUGGUAAUUGGUAUCCUCCAAUAUGUUGAUGUCAACUUAUUAUGUUGUUUUCCUUUUUUAAGACAUGGUGGAUUAAGCACAAAACUUUUAUUGACUUUUCCAACUCUUAAUUUGAUCAUGCGCUUUACCUAGACUUCAAAUGUAGAAUCCACAUCCAACAAGGACUAUGCCAUGGAGCCCGAUGAGAAACUUAUGCGAAAUGCAGCACAUUAGAUGGUACUAUGCCAUGGAGCCCGAUGAGAAACUUAUGCGAAAUGCAGCACAUUAGAUGGUAGCAAGGAACCUUUACGUGGUUCAGUAUCAAGCCAACUCAGAAGGUCACUUCAGGGCUUGGCCAUAGCAAAGGAUCUUCUGGAGCAGUCAUUUUAGCGGGUGACUAAUGGAAUCACAGGCAGCGAUGAUACCGAUGAAUGGAAUCCAUCCACUGAUACACAUCUUCCUCGAUCGAUAGCCGCUCUGGAAAUGUUGAGUGCAAGGCUGCGUUGCAAGCAGAACUCGGUCCGUUGUUGAGAGCGCUAUUUCAGUAUUGAUCAUGUUCCAGAGAUGUCCCCUGAUCUUCAACAAUGAGUUGUUAUAGUUGUAACCACUAAACGUUCUCGCUUCUGUUAUAGGGGUGUGAUCCUGGCGCCAUCCCUUACUUGCUUUCUUACUCAAACAAUCCAAACCAUUUAUGGGGAAAUAGAUCGAUUACUUUCUAUUAGAAGAAAGCAUAGAGACAGUGUUGUGCCACUUUUUUAAUGCUAGCCUUUAUGCUCGAGGUCAAACGGAAGCCCUUUAUCCUAAGCCAAGGCACAUGUCACAUUCACAACAACGAGUUUAUGAGAAUCGAUCCACCCAGAGCUCCAAAUGCAUUUCCAGUUCGCCCCUCGGCUUCAUCAGGAGCUGGAUUAUCCAGGCAAUUUGCAUCUCCACUUCUGACCAAAUGAGUGCUAGCAUUUACUCAUCUGGCCUUGUUAGCACUUGAAUUGGUGCUAUGCCCCGUACACCGGAAAUUGGCUCUGACGAGAUAGAACCUGUUGGAUCCCAAAAACUAAAAGGAAUCAAAUUAGUAAAAUUCCGGUGAUCAUUUUUCAUUUCGCUCAUCUCAUAUUUCAAUUGGCGAUGUUCCACAAACUCUUGUAAACUACAUCAUUCCUUCAUUCCCUCCUGUUAUAUAUAUGCCAUUGUUUGCUUGUGCACUUUUUUACCUGUGGAAUUUGUAAAUGCAUGAACCUAGAAAUGCUGCACAUCCUACGAAUGCAAUUCUGUCUUCCGAGCAUCCUGGGACAAACCUUGAUAUUAGAGAGUUAAGGAGGGGCUAAUUUCUAAAGGAAGCAAGAUGAAAGAAGAAAUACCUAACCCCCAUCACCUAACUUCCCAUGCAAACAAGGGAUUAUUUUGUUUCCCUUCACAUAAACGACAAUGUUAAGAUUAAGAUUUGGGGUCUAUGCCACGGAGCCUGUUGAGAAACUUAUACGAAAUGCAACACAUUUGUAGUAGCAAGGUUGACAGGAAGUCAUGCUAAUGUAACCUGUAGGCUGAGUGUAAGGCUGCGUAGCAAGCAGAACUCGGCCCCGUGAUGUGAGCUCUACUUCAGUUGAUCAAGUUCUUGAGAUGUCCCCUUUCAACAGUGAGGUACUUACCCCGGAGUUGCCCGGGUUCUCGGUUCCGGUAUAGGGGUGUGAUCCUAGCACCACCGCUUAUUUGCUUUCUACGCAAAAAAUUAAGUAUUCUAUCUCCCUUUACAUUUUCAUGCCCUUUACAUUGAUGGCAAUGUUUAGAAUAGUUUUGAGAUGUGGGUGCUUGUGUGCAUUCUUCUUUUUGUGGUUGUAAUUUAUCAUAUUUGUGUGUGUUUGCAUGGUUUUUUCUCUAUUGAUUGUCACCAGAAACACUUUUUUAUAGGUUAGCAGUGUAUACUUAAGGCUUGGAGAACUAAGAUUCCCUAAUUUAAAACACUUUACUUAUUAAUAUUUUAGCAUAUGAAUGAAUUUGUGCUGCUGAACAAGUCUGAACAAGACCAAGUACAUUUCUUAUAUUUUCUAUGGUUUCUUGAUAUUUUCUAUGUGGUGAACAAAAGUACAGUUCUUAUAUUUUCUAUGGUCUCUUGAUAUUUUCUAUGUGAUGAACAGUGAUAACUUGCUACCCCACAUAUUAGCUUGUAUUAUGCACUUUUAAGUAUUUGUUUACUUAUGUUACACUUCAUGUCUUUAUUUUUAUUCAUCAGUUGAUUGAUAUAGUUUGUUUUGUUUUUUUGUUUGUUUUGUAGGAGUUAUGGCGGAGCCAACUUUUUAGGAGACACGAUGAGAAAAGAAAUAGCUUAACCCCCACCACCUAAUUUCCUAUGCAGACAAUGGAGUAUUCUGUCUCGCCUCACAUUUUAUUAUCCAUCACAUAAAGGGAAAUGUUUAGAUUCAUUUUGGGGGUGUAGGUGUUUGUGUGUACUAUGUGCACCGUGUAUUUUAUGUAUAGUGUAGUGUAGUGUAGUGUAUGUGCGCAUUAUGUGUGUUUUGUGUUUAGUGUGUGAACUGUGUUUAUUUUGUGAUUUUGCGUGCAGUGUGUAUUCGUGUGUUUGUAGUGUGUAUUUUGUGUAUGGUGUGAAAAGUGUGUAUUGUGUGAAGUGUGAGUUUGUAUUGCAUGUAUUUUGUGUAUAGCGCGGUGUUUAUAUUGUGCAUAGAGUGUAGAUAUGUUGUAGACUGUGCAUAUGGUGUAUGUGUAGUGCAAUGUUUGUAUUUUGAGUGUAGUGUGUGUAUAUAUAUGAAGUGUAUGUUGUGCUUUUGCACUGCAUGUAUUUUGUGUAUAUGUAUGUGCGAGUGUAUUUUGUGUAAUAUGUAUAAGUGUGUAAUUUCCUUACAUGUGUGUAUUUCCUUUACGUGAAUAUAUUUUUGGUUUACUUUGUGUUUUUCUUAUAGUGUAUGUGUUAGCAUAUUGUUUGCAGUGUGUAGUGUAUGUAUUAAUUUACCCUAUGUGUGUGUGUGUGUUUUUGUGGAUAUACUCUGUGUUUUCUUUUAUA